CCCAGUUUUGCCAUUAAAUACAGAACUUCAUGAAGUUCUAUGGCUUCUCUGAGCCUCAGCUUCUUCAUCAAUAAAAUGGGCAGAGGUGAACCAGAUGACCUCUAAGGUUCCUUUAGAUUCUAAAAUGAUAUAAUUUUUAAAACCUUUGAAAUGUUUAUUCAAGUCUUCUCUCCUUGAGGUGUUCUUGGGACUGGAGACAUUCCAUUUGAAACCCUGAGACAACCAUACCUCAAGCUCAGGGUGUUUUAAGAAUUUUCCACCAGGCGCGGUGGCUCACGCCUGUAAUCCCAGCACUUUGGGAGGCCAAGGCGGGUGGAUCACGAAGUCAGGAGAUCGAGACCAUCCUGGCUAACAUGGUGAAACCCUGUCUCUACUAAAAAUACAAAAAAUUAGCUGGGCGUGGUGGCGGGUGCCUAUAGUCCCAGCUACUCGGGAGGC
rnacentral:antisense_RNA from 1 species